rnacentral:lncRNA from 1 species
GUGAAAUCAGUUUCUCAUUUUCAUGUUUUCCCUCCUCAAUAUGAUAUCAGAGCAACUUCUCCGUUGCCACAAAAACUUUGAGAUCAAAUUGAUUCCGGUAAUUGAGAUAGUUUAGAUUGAGAGUUUCAAUCAUCCAUGGCUGCAGAGCAAUCGAUUCAAUCACCACACAUUUUAUCAUCAUCAUCGGCUAGCAGUUCCGCCAUUGAUGAUGGAUCCAGUCCCUACUUUCUUCAUCACUCAGAUAACCCAGGUCUCGUACUUGUUCCGCAACUUCUGAUAGGUGACAAUUAUGCAUCCUGGAGUAGAGCCAUGAUGAUAGCUCUAUAAGUGAAGAACAAAUUAGGGUUUAUUGAUGGAUUAAUUAUGAAGCCUGAAAGUUAGGUGGAUUUCUUUAAUGAAAAAGGGGUCAUUUAUCAGCUUUCUUAUGUGGAAAACCUGAGCAGAAUUCCGUGGUUGAGAGAAAACAUCAGCACCUCCAAAACGUUGCUCAAGCUUUAUAUUUCCAGUCACAAGUUCCUGUUGAAUUUUGGGGGGACUGCAUUCUCACAGCCACAUAUCUAAUCAAUCGAACUCCCUCUCCAAUUAUACAAAACAAAACUCCUUUCACCUUACUUUUUGAUUCCCCAGUAGAUUAUAAAUCUCUCAAGUCUUUGGAAGCCUCUGUUUUGCUUCUACUUUACCAUCUCACAGAUCAAAGUUUAAACCAAGAGCCAAAGCGUGUCUUCGUCGGCUAUCCUCCUGGUAUUAAGGGAUACAAGCUAUAUGAUAGACUCUCAAAAUCCUUCUUUAUUUCUAGAGAUGUUGUCUUUCAUGAGCACCUUUUCCCAUUUCAUUCAAUUUCCUAGUUAACUAACCUAGUUCAUCAUUUUGCUUAUAUAGUCCUACCUCAAAUUAUCCUUGAUUUCUACAAUAAUCAUCCUUCUCCACAUUCCCCAACUGACGUCGAAAUUAGUGACACAGAUGACUCCACUGACUUACAAACGAUUUCUGUCCAAGCUUCACAUCAUCCAUCACCAUCUGUUCUUAGAAGAACUACUAGAACAUGUAAGCCACCGUCUUACCUUUGUGACUUUCAUUGUAAUCUUCUCACCAACGCCAACCCUCCGAAAUGUCAGUCUCCAUUCCCUUUAUCUAAUUACUGUAAGUGUUAUGCCCUAGAUCCAAUCGAUUUAGGUUGUAAACGCUUUUAAUAUAUUUAAUGCAUUUGAUUUUGGCGAGAUCUAUUAUUUAUUUAAAUUAAUUUUGUAAUAAAUAAUAUUAAAUAAUAGAAUCCGAAGAUCCAAUUUUUAGGUAAUUUGUUAAUCACAAGAAGUUGUGAUUGUGAGAUACAAAUUACAUAUAAUUGGAUCUUGAAUAAACCAUGGUCGUAAGUAAUAACGAGAUACGGAUAUCGUUAAUACAGUUAGACCAUCACGUGUGGCAUUUCUUACUUGUGAAGUAAGUAGCUGAUCUCACGAGCUAAAGUGUGGUGACACUUAAAUGAACACGUGAAUGUUUUGUUAUAGAACAAAAUAUUGGAGACCCGCUAAGAGAUUCCACAUGGAUAACUAUCUGAGUGUCAGUGGCUAAUCUCUAACGUUCGGUAGUGGAAUUGGUCCUUUGACUUGAGGUCGUCAUGGUACCUUAUAUGAGGACAGUCAUACUUUGGCGGUGUUGGAUGUUGCUCUGAAAAGGGCCGCUAAUACGACAUCGUUCGGGUACGUCAAGAAUCGUAUGAAGGUUGUGAUUGAUCAAUAAAGGAUUCGUCACUCUUAGAUAGUAGGAGAUUAUGAUCUGCGUUUCAUUCAAUUAAGUCGAUGAUGAAAUCCUUGGCCAAGGUGUACUCAUAAGUCGAAAAGGAGUUUUCGAUUUAUAUUGACUUAAUAGUGGAGUGAAAGAUAUGAUCAAUGAUCGAGAUUGACACAAUUUCAUAUCUCGUAAUUGAUCGGAUCAUAUUGACGAAGGGAUAAUAGUUUCACGGUAAACGAAUGAAUUUGAUUUUGUCAUACCACAUGACAUUUCCCGUCACAUGUAUUGCCCUGACACAUUGCUAGAUGUCAAUCAGGGACGGCGAGUGUGAAUUGACGAUAAAUUAAAAGGGUGUAUUAAUUUAUCAAUUUUGAUUAGAUCAAAAUAAUAUUUCACGACGUUAGGUAUCGUGGUCGGGAACCUAAUGGGUCGCAUACAAAAGAGAAUUGGAAGAUUGUAAAUUGUCAAUUGGUUAAUUUAACAAUCGUUGGAUAAAUUAAUUAAUUGAAUUUGUUAUUUAUAAUCCCAAAUUAAUUAAUUGGAUUAAUUAAUUAACGGACCGGAUUUAAUUAAUUGGAUUAAUUAAAUAUUGGACCGGACCGGGUCGGGUCCGUUUGGGUUUAUAUAUAUACACAGCUAGGGUUUGAGGUCCAUUAUGUUUUCAUUAUUCUUGCUAGCACAAGAGAGAAACCCUAGUCGUUGCAGUCUAUUCUCUGUGUGGAUUACAUUGGAGGCUGGACAAUUGGACAGCUGUGGGAGGCAGAUUCAAGCUGCUGGAAAGGAAUAACGCGAAGGAGUUUGCAAAUCACAAGUAAAGGUAUAUUUCUUAUCACAGUUUUUAUUUAAAUACAAAGCUGAAUCCUGAAUGGGAAUUGAAACUUGUUAAAUUCCGCUGUGCAUGUUUAAGUAAAUUCCCAACAAUUACAUCUCAUACUCGAAUUUCUCACCUUCACAUUGCACCCUUCUCCUUAGCAUUUAUUCCAACUUUGAGCCUCAAUUCUACCAACAAGCUGUGAAAUUUGAGCACUGGAGGGAUGCAAGGGCCACUGAACUAGCAGCCAUGGAAAUGAAUCGAACCUGGAUUGUUAUUUUCACAUAUUGUCUGCUUUAGGGCUUUGGAAAUUCUGUUCUGCCAGCUAUAUACAGUAGCUAACUUCUAUAUGCGAGCAAAACCAUCACAGGACUCCUCCAGAACAGACCCAUGAGGUCAGUCCCACACGGGACCCAUGGAUGUUAAAAAAUUGCAAAAAAAUGCUGACCUCUCCCAUGUAAAGCCUCUGUAAGUGUUUUUUUUUUUUUUUAAUCAAGGUGUCCGCCUUCGACGACUAUCCCUUGGGUCUGUGAUCCGGCCCCUCUUCACACAGACCAAUUAAACCGCGGAAUGUGUAUCCUACUGAUCAGGGUCCGAGCGCCUCUCCAACUGAAUUGCCAAAGUGCCUAGUGAGCCAACUCACGUUGCGCCUUGCCUUCCAGAAUAAAUCCUACCUUCCAGUAUAUCGAAUCCACGUCCUCUGAACUGUCAGCCUUGAGAGAAACCUUCAUUUGCUAGUGGAGAAGUGCCCCGGGGGACAAUCUGUAAUUGCUCAUUCUAUAAAUGUAAUGCGGUUCUCUUUAUGCAUUUUGAUGAGAAAACUUGGAAAUUUUGGUUAAUUUGAAGCUGUCAUAAAAUUUUCUCCUUG